rnacentral:rRNA from 1 species
UACGUAGGGUGCGAGCGUUGUCCGGAAUUAUUGGGCGUAAAGAGCUCGUAGGCGGUCUGUCGCGUCGGCUGUGAAAUCCCGAGGCUCAACCUCGGGUCUGCAGUCGAUACGGGCAAACUAGAGUAUUGCAGGGGAGACUGGAAUUCCUGGUGUAGCGGUGAAAUGCGCAGAUAUCAGGAGGAACACCGGUGGCGAAGGCGGGGUCUCUGGGCAAUAACUGACGCUGAGGAGCGAAAGCGUGGGGGAGCGAACAGG